GACGAACCGUGCGAACGUUGUUCGGAAUCACUGGGCUUAAAGGGCGCGUAGGCGGGCACGCAAGUCAGGGGUGAAAGCCCACGGCUCAACCGUGGAAGGGCCUUUGAUACUGCAUGCCUGGAGGGAGGUAGGGGCGUGCGGAACUUCCGGUGGAGCGGUGAAAUGCGUAGAUAUCGGAAGGAACACCGGUGGCGAAAGCGGCGCGCUGGACCUCUUCUGACGCUGAGGCGCGAAAGCCAGGGGAGCAAACGGG
rnacentral:rRNA from 1 species